rnacentral:lncRNA from 1 species
AGAUUUCCAUAGUAGAAGCGUUGAGAAAAAGGUUUCUAACUUGUUUCAUGUAAUCUGUACCAGGUUUGAGUUUGGGGGUAAAAACCAUCUCUGAAUGAUUGACUGAAUGCCUGUUGGUGUGUUGUCACACCUGGAUGUAUUACCUCCUGUUGGUGUGUUCUGCAUUUAUUUUUGCCAUCUGACGUGUUCUAUGCUGCUACACAAUUUCCAAUGUCUCCCUCUCCACCAAGUGACAUGUAAGAUCUUC